rnacentral:misc_RNA from 1 species
GAAAUGCGAUACGUAAUGUGAAUUGCAGAAUUCAAGUGAAUCAUCGAAUCUUUGAACGCAUAUUGCACUCUCUGGUAUCCCGGAGAGUAUGCCCGUUUCAGUAUCAUUGAGUGAGCAUCGGGGAGAAAUCGCGCCAUACUUUCCAGGAGUAUGAUUUCGUUGAUCUCUUCGGAUCUGAGCCCUACGUCAAUCAGGAUAAUAAGGAAUUCCCUUCCUUCCUAUUUUGAAUGGCUGGCUUGAAAUGUAAAACACCCUCGCAGUCAAGGGAGGCGAAAAGCGUCAUGGUUGGCCUCGUCUGCCAUCUUCCGCCGAAAGCCUCCUUUCUCUCUGCCUGUGAUUUUUUUGCAGGAAAAAAAAAAAAUAAAAUAAAAUAAAAUUUGAUCUGAAAUCGGGUAGGGCU